rnacentral:lncRNA from 1 species
GAAAAGGAGCGGUCACACGGGAGAGGCAUUGAAGGAAAAAUUAUUUGAAUUUGGCAACUGCUUGUGGUGGGGGGAUGAGAGGUGGAGGGUGAUAAAGCGCCCCCUCACACUCACACACAAAUAAUGUGAACAAUUUUAAAUUGCUUUACUUUAGGAGAUCAUGGAUUUUCCAGGGGGGCUGAGAACUUACCUGUUUACCCAGCCAAGUUAACAAUACUCUGCAUUGUUUACCUAACGCAGAGUAGGUACUGAAGAACUAUUUGUCGCACGGAUGACUGCAUGACCGGAUGCAUCCCAUUCCAUCAUAGAGUCAGAUGAGGAUUUGCAGAGCCAAGCCCCACCUGGGAGGCAUGUUAAGUCCUUUCCAGUUCUUCUCAAUUAUGGCUCUGCAGGCUCUUUCUCACUUGGAUGGUCCCCAGAAAGUCAGCUGCCAUGUCACGAAGUGCCCUGUGAGAAGGACCUGUAAGGAGGGACGGAGGGAGGCCUCUAAAUGACAGCCUUCGAGGAACUGAAUCCUGCUGGUGACCAUGUGAGGGAGCUUGGACUCCGGUCCCCCUGUGUUGAGCCUUCAGAUGAGUUGGCAGCCCCAGCUGGUGGCAUGACUGUAACGUCCUGAAACACCUUCAGCCAGAAAGCAUUCAGCUAAACCACACCUGUAUUUCUGACCCAAAGAAAUUGUGAGAUAAUAAACAUUUCUUCUCUUGAACUGCUAUACCUUAAGCUAAUUCGUUACACAGCAAUAGAUAACAAAUACUACCUCUGGACCCCUGCCUGCCACCAUACCAAAUUCCAUGCUCUGAGUUCUAGAGUCAGUGGUGUUUCCACCUGUCAUGCCCAGCCCUUCACUGCUAGUAUUAUAAUGAGGGCUUGCCC